UGGUUCUGGCAUNGAUGAAGAACGCAGCGAAAUGCGAUAAGUAAUGCGAAUUGCAGAAUUUCAGUGAGUCAUCGAAUCUUUGAACGCACAUUGCGCCCCCUGGUAUUCCGGGGGGCAUGCCUGUUCGAGCGUCAUUAUCACCCCUCAAGCCUGGCUUGUUGUUGGACCCCAGGUCGCGCGAGUGACCGGUCUGAAAGACAAUGACGGCGUCUGUUGGACCCUCGGUGCAAUGAGCUUUAACCAGCACGCACUCGAGUUGCAAGGACCUUCAGCCCGGUCUUCCCUUUUUAUUUUAUCAAGGUUGACCUCGGAUCAGGUAGGAAUACCCGCUGA
rnacentral:misc_RNA from 1 species